UGCGCAGACAGAGUGUGCGAGCGGCGGGCCUUGACCUUCGGGAAAAAAAACUCACGGACGGUGACAGCGAAACGGAUAACAGUCUUCAGUACCUGCUGGACUUUGAAGCUGUGGAUUCUGGGACUGUUAGAAAAGAGGCAGCGGCGAGAGGGGAGACCUCGGAUCAUCCAGCUGGAGAGCCUGACCAGGAGGAGUGAAACAUUAACUAAGCUCUUCCAGGGCACCCUGCAGACUUGGCUGUUGGCAUCGGCGAGGGAUGACGUGAACAUCAAACUGGUCCAUCACAGGUCAACUGCAGCUCCUUGUCUCAGAGUGGGAGGGAUUUGAAGCACAAAGGG